rnacentral:rRNA from 1 species
AUUGAACGCUGGCGGCAGGCCUAACACAUGCAAGUCGAGCGGGGUUUUCGGACCUAGCGGCGGACGGGUGAAUAAUGCGUAGGAAGCUGCCCGAUAGAGGGGGAUACCAGUUGGAAACGACUGUUAAUACCGCAUAAUGUCUACGGACCAAAGUGGGGGACCUUCGGGCCACAUGCUAUCGGAUGCGCCUACGUGGGAUU